UGUCAUGAGAGAUAGCUCAGUUGGUAGAGUGUGAGACUCUUAAACUCAGGGCCAUGGGUUUGAGCCCCAUGUUGGCAG